GCUGAGUGUGGUGGUGCAUGCCUGUAGUCUCAGCUACUUGGGAAGCUAAAGCAGGAGAAUCACUUGAACCCAGAAGGCGGAGGUUGCAGUGAGCUGAGAUCUCACCAGUGCACUCCAGCCUGGUGACAGAGCAAGACUCAGUCUCAAAAAAAAAAAGAACCAGGCAGGAUGGUAGUGCGCUAUGCUGAUCGGGUGUCCGCACUAAGCUUGCCAUCAAUAUGGUGACCUCCCGGGAGUGGGGACCACCAGGCUGCCUAAAGAGGGGUGAACUGGCCCAGGUCGGAAACAGAGCAGGUCAAAACUCCCCUGCUGAUCAGUAGUGGGAUUGCGCCGCUGAAUAGCGACUGCAUUCCAGCCUGGGCAACAUGGCGAGACCCCGUCU
rnacentral:SRP_RNA from 1 species